AGUGAACGCUGGCGGUAGGCCUAACACAUGCAAGUCGAACGGCAGCACAGUAGGAGCUUGCUCUUACGGGUGGCGAGUGGCGGACGGGUGAGGAAUACAUCGGAAUCUACUUUUUCGUGGGGGAUAACGUAGGGAAACUUACGCUAAUACCGCAUACGACCUACGGGUGAAAGCAGGGGAUCUUCGGACCUUGCGCGAUUGAAUGAGCCGAUGUCGGAUUAGCUAGUUGGCGGGGUAAAGGCCCACCAAGGCGACGAUCCGUAGCUGGUCGGAGAGGAUGAUCAGCCACACUGGAACUGGGACACGGUCCAGACUCCUACGGGAGGCAGCAGCGGGGAAUAUUGGACAAUGGGCGCAAGCCUGAUCCAGCCAUACCGCGUGGGUGAAGAAGGCCUUCGGGUUGUAAAGCCCUUUUGUUGGGAAAGAAAAGCAGCAGGUUAAUACCCCGCUGUUCUGACGGUACCCAAAGAAUAAGCACCGGCUAACUUCGUG
rnacentral:rRNA from 1 species